AGUGGAUUGGGCAGUCGCGGGUCGCAAGACACGAGGAAAGUCCGAGCUCCAAACAGCAGGGUAACGGCUAACGGCCGCCGAGGGUGACCUUAGGGAAAGUGCAACAGAAAGAAACCGCCGCGUUUGCGGUAAGGAUGGAACGGCGAGGUAAGAGCUCACCGGCGCACAGGAGACUGUGCGGCCAUGUAAACCCUACCCGGAGCAACACCGACCGGAUGCAGCAAUGCACGCUCGCUGGGCGCAUAUCCGACGGGUGGCUUGAGCCUGCCGGCAACGGCAGGCCUAGACAGAUGACUGCCUUCAAUGACAGAACUCGGCUUACAGAUCCACUCGA
rnacentral:RNase_P_RNA from 1 species